ACAUACGACCACACCUAUCAGAAAAUUCGGGAUCCCGUCUGCUCUCCCAUAGACAAGCUGAUGAGGGGCGGAUUAGUAGUUAGGACGGUGACGACUAGCGAAUACCCGCUGUUGUAUGUU
rfam:Fusarium oxysporum f. sp. cubense tropical race 4 54006 unplaced genomic scaffold supercont1.38, whole genome shotgun sequence.